UAGUCAUAUGCUUGUCUCAGAGAUUAAGCCAUGCAUGUCUAAGUAUAAGCAAUCUUAUACAGCGAAACUGCGAAUGGCUCAUUAAAUCAGUUAUAGUCUACUUGAUCGUAUCUUCUUACAUGGAUAACCGUAGUAAAUCUAGAGCUAAUACAUGCUAAAAAUCCUGGACGCGGCAACGCGGAAGGGACGAGUUUAUUAGAUUAAAAACCGACACCUCUCCGCGAGGGGAGGUAGCACAGGUGAUUCACAGUAACCGAUCGGAUCGUCGGCCCCGCCGACGACGAUGCAUACGAGUUUCUGCCCUAUCAACUUUAGAUGGUAGAGUAUCGGUCUACCAUGGUCGUAACGGGUGACGGGGGAUUAGGGUUCGAUUCCGGAGAGGGAGCCUGAGAAACGGCUACCACUUCCAAGGAAGGCAGCAGGCGCGCAUAUUACCCAAUCCCGACACGGGGAGGUAGUGACAAGAAAUACCAUUGUAAUGUCUCCUCGAGAGGCUUACGAUUGGAAUGAGUACAAUUUAAAUCCCUUAACGAGUAACGAUU
rnacentral:rRNA from 1 species